rnacentral:lncRNA from 1 species
UCUUGCAUGACUGUCUUAAACUCACAUACAAAACAAAAAGAAGAGUACCUUAGUAGCAUUGGACUAGAUAAAAAAUUAAACAAAAAUAAACUAAAAAGACAAAGAAGUAGCAAAGAAAAAUUUAGAAGAAACAAAAAUGAAAUAUUUACAAUUGAAAAAAAUUAAAAAAAACUAAACGUUACACAAGCGUCACCUUGUUAAAAUUAUCAACAGUCCUCGACAACGACGCCAAAAACUUGAUGACUUCUCGACAAGUGUACA